rnacentral:rRNA from 1 species
AGAGUUGAUCCUGGCUUAGGACGAACGCUGGCGGCGUGCCUAACACAUGCAAGUCGAACGGACGAGGGGAGCUUGCUCCCCAAGUUAGUGGCGGACGGGUGAGUAACACGUGAGCAACCUGCCCUUCGGAGGGGGACAACAGCGGGAAACUGCUGCUAAUACCGCAUAAUGUAUUCUGGAGGCAUCUCCGGGAUACCAAAGAUUUUAUCGCCGAAGGAUGGGCUCGCGUCUGAUUAGAUAGUUGGUGGGGCAACGGCCCACCAAGUCUGCGAUCAGUAGCCGGACUGAGAGGUUGAACGGCCACAUUGGGACUGAGAUACGGCCCAGACUCCUACGGGAGGCAGCAGUGGGGAAUAUUGGGCAAUGGGGGCAAACCCCUGACCCAGCAACGCCGCGUGGAGGAAGAAGGCUUUCGGGUUGUAAACUCCUUUGACGAGGGACGAUGAUGACGGUACCUCGAAAACAAGCCACGGCUAACUACGUGCCAGCAGCAGC